AGAGUUUGAUUAUGGCUCAGGACGAACGCUGGCGGCGUGCUUAACACAUGCAAGUCGAACGGAAAGGCCCUGCUUUUGUGGGGUGCUCGAGUGGCGAACGGGUGAGUAACACGUGAGUAACCUGCCCUUGACUUUGGGAUAACUUCAGGAAACUGGGGCUAAUACCGGAUAGGAGCUCCUGCUGCAUGGUGGGGGUUGGAAAGUUUCGGCGGUUGGGGAUGGACUCGCGGCUUAUCAGCUUGUUGGUGGGGUAGUGGCUUACCAAGGCUUUGACGGGUAGCCGGCCUGAGAGGGUGACCGGCCACAUUGGGACUGAGAUACGGCCCAGACUCCUACGGGAGGCAGCAGUGGGGAAUAUUGCACAAUGGGCGGAAGCCUGAUGCAGCAACGCCGCGUGCGGGAUGACGGCCUUCGGGUUGUAAACCGCUUUCGCCUGUGACGAAGCGUGAGUGACGGUAAUGGGUAAAGAAGCACCGGCUAACUACGUGCCAGCAGCCGCGGUGAUACGUAGGGUGCGAGCGUUGUCCGGAUUUAUUGGGCGUAAAGGGCUCGUAGGUGGUUGAUCGCGUCGGAAGUGUAAUCUUGGGGCUUAACCCUGAGCGUGCUUUCGAUACGGGUUGACUUGAGGAAGGUAGGGGAGAAUGGAAUUCCUGGUGGAGCGGUGGAAUGCGCAGAUAUCAGGAGGAACACCAGUGGCGAAGGCGGUUCUCUGGGCCUUUCCUGACGCUGAGGAGCGAAAGCGUGGGGAGCGAACAGGCUUAGAUACCCUGGUAGUCCACGCUGUAAACGGUGGGUACUAGGUGUGGGGUCCAUUCCACGGGUUCCGUGCCGUAGCUAACGCUUUAAGUACCCCGCCUGGGGAGUACGGCCGCAAGGCUAAAACUCAAAGGAAUUGACGGGGCCCCGCACAAGCGGCGGAGCAUGCGGAUUAAUUCGAUGCAACGCGUAGAACCUUACCUGGGUUUGACAUGGAUCGGGAGUGCUCAGAGAUGGGUGUGCCUCUUUUGGGGUCGGUUCACAGGUGGUGCAUGGCUGUCGUCAGCUCGUGUCGUGAGAUGUUGGGUUAAGUCCCGCAACGAGCGCAACCCUUGUUCACUGUUGCCAGCACGUUAUGGUGGGGACUCAGUGGAGACCGCCGGGGUCAACUCGGAGGAAGGUGGGGAUGACGUCAAGUCAUCAUGCCCCUUAUGUCCAGGGCUUCACGCAUGCUACAAUGGCUGGUACAGAGAGUGGCGAGCCUGUGAGGGUGAGCGAAUCUCGGAAAGCCGGUCUCAGUUCGGAUUGGGGUCUGCAACUCGACCUCAUGAAGUCGGAGUCGCUAGUAAUCGCAGAUCAGCAACGCUGCGGUGAAUACGUUCCCGGGGCUUGUACACACCGCCCGUCAAGUCAUGAAAGUUGGUAACACCCGAAGCCGGUGGCCUAACCGUUGUGGGGGAGCCGUCGAAGGUGGGACUGGUGAUUAGGACUAAGUCGUAACAAGGUAACC
rnacentral:rRNA from 1 species